rnacentral:rRNA from 1 species
AAACGAUGGAUGCCCGCUGUUAGCGCCUGGCGUUAGCGGCUAAGCGAAAGCAUUAAGCAUCCCACCUGGGGAGUACGCCGGCAACGGUGAAACUCAAAGGAAUUGACGGGGGCCCGCACAAGCGGAGGAACAUGUGGUUUAAUUCGAUGAUACGCGAGGAACCUUACCCGGGCUUGAAUUGCAGAGGAAUUAUUUAGAGAUAAAUAUGCCCUUCGGGGUCUCUGUGAAGGUGCUGCAUGGCUGUCGUCAG